GUUUUACUUUGGGGACACAGAGUAAAAUCACAGAUGGAGGAGAAAUAUUAUCCCUUUGAAGGAUUCAGCAAACACUUCCUGUGUGUGCCGAAUGUGAGUCCCCACUGCAAGAAUCUGCCAGGGGCUCUGGCAAUAGGUCCUGUGUUCACAAAGCAGAUGCCCCAGAAAAACGUCAGAAAGAUGUACACACAGGUGCACCACGAUUGCGCCCUGUCAUUUAAAAUCGAGGAUGGUGAGUUGACCAUAAACUCAAGGUGAAUCAAAGAGGGGACAUGUCUUAAAGGCUGUGGGAUCUGAAAUGUAACACAAGUGAACUCAUUUACAAGAUAGACAUAGAAAACAAACUUAGGGUUACAAAAGAGAUAGCCGGGUUGGGGGGCACGUGAGGAGAGGGAAGUAAUUUAGGAUUUGGGGAUUAACACGUACACACUACUGUAUAUAAAAGAGAUAACUAACAAGGACCUACUGUGUCGUACAGGGACCCAUACUCAAUACUCUCUAAUAAGCUGUAUGGGAAAAGAAUCUGAACGAGAAUGUAUAUAGAGAUACGUAUAACUGAUUCACUUUGCUAUACAUCUGAAACUAACAAAACAUUGUAAAUCAACUAAUACCCAAAUAAAAUUAAAUUAUCCCAUUAAACGUAUACCUCUGGUCAGAUUAUACCUAUUUCAAAAAUAUGAAAAGUUAAUAUGCAUCAGGAAUAGACAUUACCUAUUUUUAGGUAGAAUUCAGCACUUGUAAGUGGAAAUUAGAAGAAAGAUUUCAGCCCAAUAAAAGGAAGAACUUUUCAAUUAAAGUAGAAUUUGCUCUCAUAAAUUGGUAAAUUCCUCCAUGUCUCUCUCUAUAUAUAUAAGUUUAUUUUAUUUAAUAUUUUGGCCCUGUACGUGGAAGUUCCCAGGUCAGGAAUUGAACCUGUACCACUGCAGUGGCCAGAGCCACCACUGCAGUGACAAUGCCGGAUCCUUAACCCAUUGUGCCACAAGAGAACUCCUCUUUACAGCAAAAGAGGUGCUAAGGAUCUGAAACUGCAAGCAAGAAAAAAAUUGUAUAUUCUCACUAAGUUUGGUGAACACAAUCUAAAACUUUCAAUUCAGGUGAAGUUGCUGGAACUUACAGAAAUGGAGAAAAUUCAAUUCAGGCUCAUGGGAGAGUAGAAAUCUUGCAGGAAAUUGAAAAUACUUAUUACACUAGUUCCUCGAUUUGAAAUGUUUGUAAUCCAAUAGAAAGUACUGAAUAUACACAUGAUCAUAUUUGCUGGCUGGAUUAUUUUAAAAAGUACAUUAUUCUGUCAUUCUUUGGAAAUCUAAAAAUACCUGCCCCUUGAAUGAAUAAAAUAUUUUACUGAGACAUAAUAGUGAGGGAACCUAUAGGCUUGACUUUGGUUUAAAAAGCAAAACAAACAAAAAAUUUUGCUUUUGUCGGUUACAAAAUAUGGAAAAUUGUAAGCAGUGCUGUUGGUUGCACGAAUCAUAAGACUAAGUGUUUCGGUUUUUCCCCUUCUCUGCACACUGCUUAGACUUGUUGCUUUGCUUUGCUAAAUAUAGCUGGCUUCCUGCUAUUUUCACAGCCAACUGGAGAAUUUCAUUAGGAAGGUGGAAAGCUAACACUGUCAUUCCGAUGAAUAAAGUGGUCAGCUGAUAACUCUCCUUGCUUUAGUGGAAAAAUUUACAAUGACUACAGGGGCUGAAAGUCAGAUGGAGUUUCAUUAAAAUAGGAAAUUAGCGCAAUAAGCAAAAGGCCUUCUUGUCCCUUUCUUCCUUGGCAGGCAGGUGUUUAAAGCUCCUGUUAGUUGAAGGUACAAAAGGGCAUAGUCUGUCUUCUUGCUCAACCCUGGUCUCAAGGAUGAUCUCAUGCCUGCCGUGGUAUGAUUAGUGAGCACUCCUCCCUGAUUCCAUGCAGGUCAGUCUUUCCUCCUCGGAUCAACCCUGUACAUUUUCAGAGACUUCCUGUUUCCUUAGAAGAAAGACCACACCCCCAAACCAGGCUUCAAGGUCCAGAUACAGCUUUCUAACCACACCUGCAUUUCUCCCCUACACGAACUCUUCACGCCAUCCAGGGUCGUCUGCUCGCCUUUGCCAGGCACACUGUUCCAUCUUUGUCAGCUUCGUCUAGAAUGCCAGUCUCUCCUGUCUGGUCCAUGCCCAUGUACCAAAGGCAAGGUCCAAUCUCCCUUCUCGUCUCGGAUCCUCCUGCAGCUCAAACUCACUGGGGCCUCUAUCCUACUUCAUAUCAUGCCUUAGCCCUCUGACCUCCUUCCGACUCACAUGAAUCAAUACGAAUCCCAUCAAUUAAGCUCCCUAAUUAGUUCCCAUUGUCGCCGGAUAAUUACGCUCAGGAUUAAAAAUGAGACUAUCCCUCAGGAUUUAACAGUUGCCACCCAUCGAGGAUUCUGCAUGUGAAUUAAAUGUCCUCACAGAAAUACGGCACUGACAGCAAAUUCCUUUACCCCGUCUUAUCUAAAGCUGUAGAUUAUUUUAUUAGAUUUUAUUUUUAUUAAAAGAUAAUAUUUUCAUUUUUUAAAAAUUGGAAGAUUGUAUACAGUGCAUAGUAAUAAAAUGCCAUUUCCUGCCACGCCACACACACAGAGUUCAGACUGUAAACUCUCAAUAUUCGUACAUAGAGAUCUACUUAGUACUCUUUGUAAAAAUGUCGUAGCAGUUCAUCUACUAUGAAUAUAAAAUUAAUCCGUAGUCUGCUAAUGGAAAUUGAGAGUUGGCCCUCAAUUUUCAAAUUAUAAGUAGUAUUUUAAUGAACAAUUUGUUUAUAUAUCUUCGGAAAUUUAUGGACAUUUUCUAUGGGAUAAAUUACUUAGAAUCGGAUUUCUAGGUCAUAGGGCUUUAUGCACUUUUAAUUUUGAGAGAUCUUGCCAAAUCACACUUUAAAAAAACACCCGCUCCCUAACCAAGAGUUGCUUUCACGCUUACUCUUUGAAUUGAGUAAUUUGUAAGUUUUUCUUAUGACUUAAAAAUAACAAUGCACCACAUUAUUAAGAAAUAUACUGCUUUGAUUCUUGUACUUCAGGAACAUAGGACAUUAAUUCUAAACUGAAGUUGAUGGGUCAGGGAACUUGGUAAAAGUCUAUGAACAUUAACUCCAAGUUGUCCUGUGAAAACUUGAGAAUUUCCUAGUGGAAACAUGAAAAAGUCCUUGAUUCUGGUCGGGAGAGGGAAGAGCGGGAUGUGGGCCAUUUACUGCCAAAGGGAGAUUAAAGGUCACUGAAAUAAAUAUAACAUCACCAUUCUGCAAGCCUAAUGAAUUAAUAGAUCUCGAUAAUGAUCAUUAAUACUUGUUAGCCUUGCUAGCCAAGAGAGACAGCCAGAUAACAUGUGCCUCUUGAUGAAACUACUUAUAGAAGGAUAUCGUGAAAUAUUUAUACAUGAAACGGCAUCAUGCCCAGGAUUUGCCUCAAAACACCCUGGUGGGGAGAGAAUGCAGAAGAAAUGAGAUUGGCUAAAAGUUGUUCAUUGCUGAAGCUGGUUGAGAGGUACAUGGAGGUUCGCCGUCCUUCCCUCUGUGUGUCCUACACGUUUGAAAUGUUCCACAGUCAAAUAGUUAAAAACAGAAAGGUUUUGCAUUAAAAGGUUCUGGAAUAUCCCUCCCUAACUACUAAGAUACAUUUAAAGAGGGUGGCUCUAGGAAAAGUGUAUGCUCCCAUAUGAUGGCCACAAGCUCACUACAUGUUCAGGGGCUCGCUUCCAAGCCUGUGAUUUUAGGCAAGAGCAGGAACGGGAGCCGGAUGGUAUGGAAAACAUACAAACGAGGUGGUUCAUAAGCCAAAAGAAGACUGUAAUUUAAGGGCAGGAACCCACUGUCCUCUUUAGCUUUCAAAAUGUUUUUGAACUCAGAAAGGAGCAUGUAUAGUGCUGCAGCACAAACAUGUAAUCUUUGGCCCAGACAAAUGGAUGCUUCUGUGGACAAUGAUAAUGUAGAAUUUGUCAUCUCCUUCACAUGGCAUUUCUUGAGUUACACCAUCUCACCACAUCCUUCCUCGGGGUCCUCUUUUUCCUCUUCCACUUUAUGCAUUCUCCACCCCCCCAAACCUGUGCCAAAGGAAGGAAAACGCGCUAUUUUCUUUGCCCAGCUAUACACAUAUAUCAGAAAUUACCUUUUAAAUGCAUCAAACACUGGAUAACUUCUGACUAGUCUUGUUGUUAAUCCAAUCUUUCCUCAAAGCCCAAAUGGACUAGUUUAUCAGAAGGCUGAAAACAGUGUCUCCCUAGAAGGUUACCAGAACAGCCACAGUUUCUUGGUUUUGUUUUUGUUUUAAAACUGAAACUCAAUGUAAAAUGACUUUCGAAUGUGCGUUUAUUUUCCAUUCAGUCAUCAUAUUACUCCUUCCACUUCUCUGUUUCAUUAAUUAUAGGUAGGGGGUCUUUAAGGAGUCUUGGAAGUAGAGCCCAGAAAGUGUGAUAGAAAUUUAUGAAAACGAAUAAGAUAUUCCAAAGAUAGGGAUGGGGUCAGGGAAUGUAACCCGGAAUGGGACAUGUUGGUCUCAUCAAAGACUCUUUCCACAGAGCGACAUAAAAUCUCUUUCAUGAAUUUUAACAUAUACUUUUGCCUCUUGGUGGGUAGGGUGGAAAUGCGAUUUUAAUCUUAAUGCAACAUUUUUUACAAUGAUACUUUACUCAGUUAUCUAUAUUAUUACAUAUACCACCAGCAACCUGUUCUUCUAAAUAACAAAUCUACCCAUUUAUUCCCCUGUUCGGGAAUCGAUUACCUCGGAAAAGUUGGAAUGUACAGGAACAUAUAAGAAGCCCUCAGAAAUUCAGUAGAAAACAGUUCAGCGCAGCUUUCCUAAACUUAGCUGCCUUUUCACUUGUGAGAUUUACUAACAUCCUAAGAACACCUUUUAGACUUUGGAAUUCCAUCUCAAUCACUUUAGGAAUGCUACCAAGGAUUAAGGAAAAAUGGAUUGAAAGAGGCCGCAUAAAUGAGUAAGUUAUAUCUUGAACCCCUUUCAUGGGCCUUUUACUUUAGAGACGAAUACAUGCAUAUGGUCUCUUCCGGGAAGAUGGAAUAGUCAUGCUUUCCAUACUCUUCUCACUAAGGACAGCUUAAAACUUUGGGUAUUGUAUACAAGAUAAACACAAGAAGAUUGAAGGGCAGACUGGCUGGGGACCUGGGGACCUGGGGACCUGAAAACCACACAGUGAGUGGAAAGUUCCCUGGUUUGGGUUUGUUCUUUGUUUGUCUUUCUCAUACACACCAGCCUCGGAGCUGAAGAAUCCAGCCAUCUGGAAAGGCCAGUGGGAGCAGACUAAUAAGCUCCAAAAGGAUCCCCCGUUCUUUAACCAACGUAUGAAGACAACUUUUAGAUAAGAACCCCUCGGCUCCAACCCGGCACCACAGAAGAACUGAUGCGCUAUCCCCUUCCACACCAGCAAAGACUCACUAGGAUGCCUAGGCGUCCACCCUUAAGAAGCUGUAACAAGGCAUGCUAAGCCCUCCACAGGGUGGUGUCAGAGAAGGUUGGGGUGGGGGGAGCCAGGGGUCAGUGGAGACUCUGUGGGGC
rnacentral:lncRNA from 1 species